GCCAAGCCGCUGGCAUCCCCUUCCACACUGUGGAAGCUUUGUUCUUUUUUGCUCUUUGCAAUAAAUCUUGCUGCUGCUCACUCUUUGGGUCCACACUGCUUUUACGAGCUGUAACACUUACCGCGAAGGUUUGCAGCUUCACUCCUUAAGCCAGCGAGACCAGGAGCCCACUGGGAGGAAGAACAACUCCAGACGCGCCUCCUUAAGAGCUGUAACACUCACCAUGAAGGUCUGCAGCUUCACUCCUGAGCCAGGGAGACCACGAACCCACCGGAAGGAAGAAACUCCGAACACAUCCGAACAUCAGAAGGAACAAACUCCAGAGGCGCCACCUUAAGAGCUGUAACACUCACCGCAAGUGUCACCGGCUUCAUUCUUGAUGAGAAGGCUUCCACUGCACUACUGGAAGAAACCAUUGCUUUGGGAAUUUUCUAUCCUGCAGCCCUCAGCAACCCUCUGCUGGAAUGCUGCCACUAUGACUGCUAGAGACACUUCAUGGAAGCCCACAGGACAUGUCACCUUUUCUCAUGGGCUCAUUUCAUGGGCCAGGCACGAGCUUCUGUUCAUUCCACCUAUGGGUUUGAAGGUCAACUCUGCAGCACCUGUUUAAUCUCUAGAAAAGAUGCUGAUAAAACUUGGAAAUGUUGUAGCUCAGGUAUCUUCAUUAUAAUUGAAGCCACCUUUGCAAAAAGUAUGACAGUGAGAGAAACGUGACAUAGAAAAAUUAUGAUAGGGAAAGAAAUAUCACCUAACUGAUUCCAUCUUGCUUCUGACCUCCAAGCUGCCUUUGUUCAUUCCUGGGCAUAGGCCAACCUAACCAUGGAGAAAUUUAAUUUAUAGUUUGACUUUCAAUCAAGGAUGAUAAGAGUCCCUUUCUAAAACUGACCUCCUCCUUGUCCCAGUACUGACACCACCUUUGUAAGACCCAUGAAAGGCCACGGAGAUUGGGAUUAUAGGAGGGGUCUGAAUUCUGCUAAGAUGUAGGCAUAGUUAAAUAAUAACCCACCAUUGUUCCAUAGCUUGCUUGCUUAUAAUCCCUAAUCACUCAGGAUUCUUGAAGCCAGAGGUCACAAGAUUUAUGACUUCUCCAAUUGCUCAUAUAGAUAACAUCACUAUUGUAGAACCUAAGGGGGGCCUUUUGAGAUGUUUUCCAGACUUUUGCAUUCUUACAACUAACUCCAUUUGGACCCAUGACUCAUGACUCAACCAGUCGUGUGGUCCCCACCUAAGGGCUGACUCAGCUCAUGAGGACUGUUUUCCACACCCCUAUGAUUUUAUCUCCAACCAAUAAGCAGCAACCACUGCUUAGCCCCUCCCAGGCAAAUUAUCCAUGAAAACCCUAGCUUCCAAGCUUUCAGGGAGACUGAUCUGAGUAAUAAACUCCUAUCUCCUGCUUAGCUAGCUGUGUUUAUUAAACUCUCUGUUACAAUAC
rnacentral:lncRNA from 1 species